ACUCCUGCGGGAGGCAGCAGUGGGGAAUUUUGGACAAUGGGCGAAAGCCUGAUCCAGCAAUGCCGCGUGUGUGAAGAAGGCCUUCGGGUUGUAAAGCACUUUUGUCCGGAAAGAAAUCCUUGGCUCUAAUACAGUCGGGGGAUGACGGUACCGGAAGAAUAAGCACCGGCUAACUACGUGCCAGCAGCCGCGGUAAUACGUAGGGUGCGAGCGUUAAUCGGAAUUACUGGGCGUAAAGCGUGCGCAGGCGGUUUGCUAAGACCGAUGUGAAAUCCCCGGGCUCAACCUGGGAACUGCAUUGGUGACUGGCAGGCUAGAGUAUGGCAGAGGGGGGUAGAAUUCCACGUGUAGCAGUGAAAUGCGUAGAGAUGUGGAGGAAUACCGAUGGCGAAGGCAGCCCCCUGGGCCAAUACUGACGCUCAUGCACGAAAGCGUGGGGAGCAAACAGGAUUAGAAACCCUGGUAGUCC
rnacentral:rRNA from 1 species